CGUACAGAACCUUCCUUUAAGCGGAGGAUAGCCCAUAGAAAUGUGGAUUAAUACCCCAUCGUAAUACAAUCUGGCAUCAGUUUGUAUUUAAAGAUUUAUCACUUGAAGAUGGCUGUGCGUCUGAUUAGGUAGUUGGUCGGGGUAACGGCCCACCAAGCCAACGAUCAGUAACUGGUGUGAGAGGAUGAUCAGCCACAUUGGGACUGAGACACGGCCCAA
rnacentral:rRNA from 1 species